GCUCCUCAGGGCCGGCGGCUGCACGGGCAGGGCGGGCGGCGUUCCGCCACCGCGGGUUCCGGGGGAUUUGAGGGGGAAAAGGGGGAAAUAAAGGGAAAAUAGGGGAGAAUAGGGGGAUAUGGGGCUGCCAGGGUGCGGUGUGGGGAUGGGGUGAGGCUGAGGGUGAUGUAUGGGAAGGGUGCUGGUCCCUGUGUGGGGAUGGGGUCAGCCUGAGCCUUCUGUAUGGGAAGGGUCCUGGUCCCAUAUGGGGCUGGGGUCAGCCCAAGCAUGUAUGGGCAGUGUUCUUGUCCCUCUGUGUGGGGAUUUGGUCAGCCCAAGCAUCCCUGUGCGGGAAGGAUCCUGGCCCCCUGCAUGGCGUGGGACUGGGGUCAGCCUGAGCCUCCUUUAUGGGAAGGGUCCUGGUCCCGUGUGGGGCUAGGGUCAGCCCAAGUCUCCUGUAUGGAGAGUGUCCUGGUCCCUCUGUGUGGGGAUGGGGUCAGCCAGAACAUCCCUGUGUGGGAAGGGUCCUGGCCCCCUGUGUGGUGUGGGGAUGGGGUCAGCCCAAGCAUCCCUAUUUGGGAAGGGUCCUCAUCCCUGUGUGGGGCUGGGGUCACCCUGAGCCUCCUGUAUGGGAAGGGUCUUGGUCAGCCCAAGCCUCCUGUGUGGGGUGAGUCCUGGCCCCUGUGUGGGGAUGGGGACAGCCUGAGCAUCCCUGUGACAGAAGGAUCCUCGUCCCUGUGUGGGGUUGGGGUCACCCUAAGCCUCUGUGUAUGGGCUCAGUCCUGGCCCCUUGUGUGGUGUGGGGCUGGGGUCAGCCUGAGCCUCUUGUGAGGGAAGGGUCCUGGUCCCCUGUAUGGUGGGUUGGGGUCAGGGCCUGCCUCACUGCACAGUACGGGGACCAGUCCCGUGGGAUGGGACUGGCAGCCAGCCCUCCCCUGCUGCGUUUUGUAGGGCCCAGCCCUAUGCCAUGAUAUGGGGCUGGGGCCAGGCCCUGUCCUGCUGCGUGAGGGGGGGUCCCUCAGGCAGGCCAGCCCUUCUCCUAGGGUCCGGGGAGCAGCUGCUGGAGCUGCUGACACCUCCCAAAGCUCGAGAGACCAAAAUGAGGUACCCUGCAGAGGCUCCGUGUCACCGAAACCUCCUCAGGACACCAAGCAGAGGGGCCGGGAGCCCCGUGCUGUGCUCCUGGUGUGUGAGCAGCCCCCAGAGCCACAGUGAGCAAACAUGGAGCAGGCAGCCGGCUACGUGGGCUACUCUGCGGCUGAUUUAUUUGUCUGAUCAGGACCGUAAAUCCUCCGGCUUCGGGGCUGAAGUCAGCUUCUGGGGAAGGGAGGAGACUCGGCUGGGGUCUGCUGGCAGGACACAAAUGGCUCCAGCUGACCAUGGGCACCCACGGGGCUCCUCCAAGGCUGCAGCCACGCACCGGGGGCAGCCAGCGAGCCGGGACCCAACCUCGGCGUGCUCGCACAUGUGUGUCCACCGAGAGACAAAAGCAGGGGCUGAAGCAGUGCCGGCCGCCCUCCGAGAGCCCUCCGGCCGCCUUCCAGACCCCCCCAGCCCAGCUGCAGGAGCUUGCAGGAGGGGGGGGGAAGUUGCUUCAGCACCCCCACCACCCCCCCAGCCACCCACCCACCCCCUCUCCUAAGGAAAGGUAAGGAAAAGAAAGCAGCCGAUGCUCUCCACUUGCUCCUGCACCUUUUUGGCUGGGCGUGGGGGUGGGGGGGGUUGGUUUGGGGCGGGGGUGCGGGCUGCUGCUUCGCCAGGCGGUGCAGGAUCCCUGUCACAAUAUUUUUCUGCAGGCAACAAGCCCACACUUGGCAGAGCUGCUGCUUCCCUGCCUCGGCCCUUUCUCAGCUGUUUGGGGAGCCCCUGGCCAUGUGUCGUCCCCCCCCCCUUCCCCUGGCACCCCAAAACGAUGCCCCCCCGUCGAUGGGGCUGCAGGCAGGGGGCAAGGGAAGGGGGCUGGAUGGUGGUGCUGCAAAGCUGGGGGUGACAGUCUGCUCUCCUGGGCAGAAGGAGGGAGAGGACACGUUGCUUUGGGGGAAGAGGGGACCGAGCCCAUCUCAGUGACCUCAGUGGUUUUGGGGAGCCCUCUGCUCCCCCCAUGUGAAGGCUCGCAGCACCAGGGGCUGGUGUGUGUGCUCAGCCGGGCAGCUCUGUGCUGGGAUGAGGAGGAGGAUGGAGCAGGGUCACUCAUUGACCAUGUCCACAUCCCCUCUGGCUUGGCUUCCUUUGCUGGGGGCUUGAAAAGUUUGCUCGCAGGCGAGGUGCGAUGGUAACACCCAAAAUUUGCCCUGCCACCCUCCCCCUUGCUCCUUCUGGCUGGAGGGGUAACGACCCCUGCUUUUGGAGAUGCUCCCAGAGCAGGGAUGUGAGUGGCAGCUCCAGGAACCCAAAUCCAACCCCAGAACCCAAAUCCAGCCCCAUAACCUGGGGCAAGAGCUACGGCCCAGCCCCUGCUCGGGACACAACCUGCACCCCCUGAAAUCCAUCCCUGGGGAGGUGAGGACAGCCUCGGGGUGCCCUUUGGGGCCACACCAGCUUCUCCCACGGGGGCAGAAAUCUGCUCCAGCUGGGAGCAGAGGCACAGGGUGGGGAGCAGCAGCAGUUCUGCUGUUUUUUUCAGGGCAGGCAGGGAACUGAGCACUUGUAUUUUGGGGCAGGAGAGGAGCUGGGAGAGGCUCCCACACAGCACCGCUCGCGUUCUCGGGGCACAUCCUGGAAGCAAUCCUGGUAGCUUCAGCCCUGAGCUGUGCCACAACAAAUACCGCUGCUGUUUAGAUCCCAAAAAGCUCAGGGAACGCAGGGGCUUGGUUAUUUUGGCUCUGCAGAGAGGUGGGGUGCUGCUUUCCCUGUGUGGCUGCCAGGAACCUUCCCGAGGUGCCGCUGGGGUUCCCACACCGCAGCAACAGGCGCUCCCGUGCCCGUCUCCGCCAGGCACGGCGGCUGUACCCAGCCUGGAGAGCCACUGGAUGUCAGUGUUGAUUGAUACAAAUGAAGCCGAAGGAAUAUCUGUUUUGUUCUUUUUUUCCAACCAGUUGCACAACAACAGGCACCCUCCGAGCGGGGUGGAUUUAGGUGGGACCUGGAGGUGACAUUGCCGGGGUGCAAGCGGAGCUGCUCCCAAAACCCUGCUCCCAAAACCCCCUCUGGGGAGAGGCACAGGCUGAGAGCUCAGGUCUGAGGCUCGCUGGUCCCUGUUCAGCCGUGGUACCAGCGUGAGAUAUCUGCGGGGAAUUACCAGGAGGGUUCUUUCUCCCCAGCAGAUAAUGUGGGGUGGGGUGAAGGGGAAGCAAGAAGGAGGAAAAAUCUGGGGGUUGUCGUGGCACGGAAUGAAAGCACAGCUUGUGGCCAAAUGGCAGGGGGCUUUCCAGCCAGCGGGGGCCACGGGGACGUUUUCUGCCUGGUUAUGAGACCGACACUGAGGAUGGGGUGGGAGUGAGAUCCCUGAGGGCACAGCUGGCCUGUGCUCGGCACAAGUGGCUGCGUUCUCACCUCUCCCCACUCCCUCCUCACCCUCAGCCACCUUUUGGACACGGGGGCCAUGCCAUGGGUGCGCUGUGGGUGCUGGGGACCCCGUGGUCCCUUUCUGGGUGGUGGCACUGCCAGGACCCCGGCGCUGUUUUGGGGGCUGGGCUACCUGCAUACAGCAGUCAGGGUUUUCUUUUCUCCUCAAUGCAUGAAAACAAACCUCAGGAGAGCAUUUUUCUGCCUCUGCCUUGAGCACACCUGCUCCAGGUUUUUUGGCAGCACCAAAGCCUUUAGGGGCACGGAUAUCACCUGAGCAGCCCUCUGGGCUUCACACCCUGCUUCCAGGCACGUAAUUGCCCUUUACCCGAGCUUAAAAUCCAGCUCCCAGCCUGCCCGUGGCGAUCACACCCGUGCUGUGCAUCAGAGCCCCUCUGUCUGCACGUCACAGCGACCAUCCUCCGACGUCGGCGCAGCAGCAGCAGCACCAGCCCCGUGCGUGGCGCACCGAAUUCAGCCGGGCUGAGCUCCCAGCUCCUCACCAGCACAGCUCCCUCCCCGGCGGCCCGGGAAAGAUCAUUUGCAAAGCAUGGGGAAAAUAAAGCCUGAGCGUGGCCAGCCGAGUGACGACUG
rnacentral:lncRNA from 1 species